GGCCCUAUCGUCUAGUGGUUAGGACGCUCGGUUUUGAAUUCAGGACAAUUCAAGACCGUCCGCGCAACCUGGGUUCGAAUCCCAGUAGGACCU
rfam:Kwoniella heveanensis BCC8398 unplaced genomic scaffold supercont1.49, whole genome shotgun sequence.